rnacentral:rRNA from 1 species
GCCCGGUGCUGGAACGUUAAGGGGGACCGGUUAGCCUCACGGCGAAGCUGAGAACUUAAGCGCCAGUAAACGGCGGUGGUAACUAUAACCAUCCUAAGGUAGCGAAAUUCCUUGUCGGGUAAGUUCCGACCUGCACGAAUGGCGUAACGACUUCUCCACUGUCUCAACCACGAACUCGGCGAAAUUGCACUACGAGUAAAGAUGCUCGUUACGCGCAGAAGGACGGAAAGACCCCCGGGGACCUUUACUACAGCUUGGUAUUGGUGUUCGGUACGGCUUGUGUAGGAUAGGUGGGAGACUGUGAAGCUGACACGCCAGUGUCGGUGGAGUCAACGUUGAAAUGCCACUCUGGUCGUUCUGGAUAUCUAACCUAGGUCCGUAAUCCGGAUCAGGGACAGUGCCUGGUGGGUAGUUUAACUGGGGCGGUUGCCUCCUAAAAGGUAACGGAGGCGCCCAAAGGUUCCCUCAGCCUGGUUGGCAAUCAGGUUUCGAGUGUAAGUGCACAAGGGAGCUUGACUGUGAGACUGACAAGUCGAACAGGGACGAAAGUC